CUCAGGACGAACGCUGGCGGCGUGCCUAAUACAUGCAAGUCGAACGCUUUUUCUUUCACCGGAGCUUGCUCCACCGAAAGAAAAAGAGUGGCGAACGGGUGAGUAACACGUGGGUAACCUGCCCAUCAGAAGGGGAUAACACUUGGAAACAGGUGCUAAUACCGUAUAACACUAUUUUCCGCAUGGAAGAAAGUUGAAAGGCGCUUUUGCGUCACUGAUGGAUGGACCCGCGGUGCAUUAGCUAGUUGGUGAGGUAACGGCUCACCAAGGCAACGAUGCAUAGCCGACCUGAGAGGGUGAUCGGCCACACUGGGACUGAGACACGGCCCAGACUCCUACGGGAGGCAGCAGUAGGGAAUCUUCGGCAAUGGACGAAAGUCUGACCGAGCAACGCCGCGUGAGUGAAGAAGGUUUUCGGAUCGUAAAACUCUGUUGUUAGAGAAGAACAAGGAUGAGAGUARAACGUUCAUCCCUUGACGGUAUCUAACCAGAAAGCCACGGCUAACUACGUGCCAGCAGCCGCGGUAAUACGUAGGUGGCAAGCGUUGUCCGGAUUUAUUGGGCGUAAAGCGAGCGCAGGCGGUUUCUUAAGUCUGAUGUGAAAGCCCCCGGCUCAACCGGGGAGGGUCAUUGGAAACUGGGAGACUUGAGUGCAGAAGAGGAGAGUGGAAUUCCAUGUGUAGCGGUGAAAUGCGUAGAUAUAUGGAGGAACACCAGUGGCGAAGGCGGCUCUCUGGUCUGUAACUGACGCUGAGGCUCGAAAGCGUGGGGAGCAAACAGGAUUAGAUACCCUG
rnacentral:rRNA from 1 species